UCUAGUAUAAGCUCUUGUACGGCUAGACUGCAGACGGCUCAUUACAACGGUUGUAUCUUACAGGGCAUCCGGGUCGCAAGACCUUCUGGAUAACCGCAGUAAAUCGGGGCUAAUACAUACAAACGGAGGGAUGGAGAGGGCAACCUUGAAGUUUCUGCGAUGGACAUUUAGCUAUUCGACCAACCCCGCAAGGGAAUGGUUGGAACCGGUUCAUAUUGCUAAUCGACUCUAGCUUGCUAGUAGUCUGAUAAGCCCUAUAGACAACCGCCCUAUCAACUUGAUGGUAAGGUUUUGGCUUACCAUGGUUGUAACGGGUAACGGGGAAUCAGGGUUCGAUUCCGGAGAGGACGCCUGAGAAACGGCGUCCACAUCUACGGGUGGCAGCAGGCGCGUAAAUUGCCCAAUCUCAACAGAGAGGAGGCGGUGACAAUAAAUCCCGAUGGCUUUGGGGGCAACCCCAGGCUAAUCAGAAUAAGUACACAUUAAAUCCCUUAACCAAUAUAAUUGGAGGGCAAGUCUGGUGCCAGCAGCCGCGGUAAUUCCAGCUCCAAUAGCAUAUACUAAUGUUGUUGCAGUUAAAACGCUCGUAGCUUAAUAUCUUUUGAGCUACUAUCGACUGUCAUCCUCUUAUGUAGCCGCAAGGUGAAGUAGGAGGACCAGUCGGCUCAAACACUGUAGGUCAUGCGGCUAGCAAUAGUUGCAUAAUCGACUGUGCAUAAACCUUGAUGCUCAAGGUAGGCCUUUAUAGGGUAGAUACACAGUGCAUGGCAUUGUGGAACAAGGCAUCUCGCGGCUUAGUUGGUGGGCCGCGGGGGCAAUGAUUAAUAGGGAGGAGCGGGGGCCUUCAUAUUGCAGGGCGAGAGGUGAAAUUCGUUGACCCUUGCAAGAUGUCCUACAGCGAAAGCAUUGGCCAAGUGCCUCCCCAUUAGUCAAGAACGAAAGUUUGGGGAUCAAAGACGAUCAGAUACCGUCGUAGUCCAAACCAUAAACUAUGUCGACCAGCGAUUAGGCGGGCUACCUUCUUCGAGAGCUGCCUAGCAGCUUGUGGGAAACCAUGAGUGCUUGGACUCUGGGGGGAGUAUGGUCGCAAGGCUGAAACUUAAAGGAAUUGACGGAAGGGCACACCAUGGAGUGGAGCCUGCGGCUUAAUUUGACUCAACACGGGAAAGCUUACCAAGCUCAGAUAUGAUUAGGAUUGACAGACUAAAAGAUCUUUCAUGAUCUCAUAAGUGGUGGUGCAUGGUCGUUCUUAGUUGGUGGAGUGAUUUGUCAGGUCAAUUCCGGUAACGGACGAGACCUCGACCUGCUAACUAGUGGGAUUCAUUCUUUCGAUUGACGAGGCAGGUAUUGCUUUGAUUAUAGGGGGCAACUUUUAUAGUCGGGUAGUGCUUGUAUUAGUCUGGGAGAGUGGGUUUCAAAAAUUUAAUUAAUCUUCCUAGAGGUACUUCUGGCUCUAAGCCA
rnacentral:rRNA from 1 species